rnacentral:rRNA from 1 species
UACGGAGGAUGCAAGCGUUAUCCGGGAUUUCAUUUGGGUUUAAAGGGUGCGUAGGCGGGGCUAUUAAGUCAGUGGUGAAAUCCUGCAGCUUAAACUGCAGAACUGCCGUUGAUACUGAUAGUCUUGAGUUUGGUUAAGGUAGGCGGAAUGUGUAAUGUAGCGGUGAAAUGCUUAGAUAUUACACAGAACACCAAUUGCGUAGGCAGCUUACUGAGCCGACACUGACGCUGAGGGCACGAAAGCGUGGGGAUCAAACCAGGAUUA